AUUAAUUCGAUGCAACGCGAAAAACCUUACCUACCCUUGACAUGUACGGAAGGCCGGAGAGAUCUGGUUGUGCUCGAAAGAGAACCGUAACACAGGUGCUGCAUGGCUGUCGUCAGCUCGUGUCGUGAGAUGUUGGGUUAAGUCCCGCAACGAGCGCAACCCUUGUCAUUAGUUGCUACGAAAGGGCACUCUAAUGAGACUGCCGGUGACAAACCGGAGGAAGGUGGGGAUGACGUCAAGUCCUCAUGGCCCUUAUGGGUAGGGCUUCACACGUCAUACAAUGGUACAUACAGAGGGCCGCCAACCCGCGAGGGGGAGCUAAUCCCAGAAAGUGUAUCGUAGUCCGGAUCGCAGUCUGCAACUCGACUGCGUGAAGUUGGAAUCGCUAGUAAUCGCGGAUCAGCAUGUCG
rnacentral:rRNA from 1 species